ensembl:lncRNA
CCCAAACCCCAAAUCCCAAAUCCCAAAUCCCAAACCCCAAANNNNNNNNNNCCCAAAUCCCAAAUCCCAAAUCCCAAACCCCAAAUCCCAAAUCCCAAUUUCCCAAAUCCCCAAAUUCCAUAUCCCAAAUCCCAAACCCCAAAUCCCAAAUCCCAGAGAAAAACCCUGAACCCCCAAAUUCUGGGAAGGACGGGACAGAAAAGGGAGGAGGGCCUGGAGCCCAAAUCCCAGCCCGGCCCCUCCGGUCCCGAUCCCGAUCCCAAACCUGAUCCCAAACCUGAUCCCGAUCCCAAAUCUGAUCCCGAUCCCAAUCCCAAUCCCAAACCUCAUCCCCAUCCCAAAUCCUGUCCCUGAUCCCAUCCCGAUCCCAAACCCCAUCCCGAUCCUGAUCCCAUCCCCCCAAUCCCACCCCUGAUCCCAAACUCUGAUCCCAAUCCCAAUCCCAUAUCCCAAACCCCAUCCCAAUCCCAAACCCCAUCCCUGAUUCUGAUCCCGAUCCCAAAUCCCACCCCAAUCCCAAAUCUCCAUCCCAAUCCUGAACUUGAUCCCAAUCCCGAUCUCAAACCCCGAUCCUGAUCCCAAAUCCCAAUCCCCAUCCCAAAUCCCCAUCCCCAUCCCAUUCCCAUCCUCAUCCUGAUCCCAAAUCCCGAUCCUGAUCCCAAUCCCAAACCCCCAUCCCGAUCCUGAACCUGUUUUUAACUCCAGUUCUGAUCCCAUCACAAACCCAAUCCCGAUCCCAAAUCCCGAUCCCAAAUCCCGAUCCCAAAUCCUGAUCUCAAAUCCCGUUCCCAUAUUCCAAAUCCCAAAUCCCGUUUCCGUUCCCCAUCCCAAAUCCCAGUCCCACAUCUCGUUCCCAAAUCCCCAUCCCAAAUCCUAAAUACCCAAUCCCAAUCCCAAUCCCAAAUCCCAAAUCCCCAAUCCCAAAUCCCCAAUCCCCCAUCCCAAAUCCCAAAUCCCAAAUCCCCAAUCCCCAAUCCCAAUCCCAAAUCCCAAAUCCCAAAUCCCCGUUCCCGUUCCCACCUGUGGGGUCGGGUUUGGCUCCGUCGGGGCGGCGCCGUCCCGGGGGGGUCUCGGGAAUUCCGGGGGGGCUCCGGGGGCCGAUCCCGACGGGAAUUCCGGGCUGGACCCCGGAGCCCAUCCCGGGGAUUUUGGGGUCGAUCCCGAGGAUUUUGGGGUUGAUCCCGGAGCCAAUCCCGUUGUUGAUCCCGAGGAUUUUGGGGUUGAUCCCGAGGAUUUUGGGGUCGAUCCCGGAGCCAAUCCCGAGGAUUUUGGGGUUGAUCCCAGAGCCAAUCCCGAGGAUUUUGGGGUUGAUCCCGGAGCCAAUCCCGAGGAUUUUGGGGCCGAUCCCGAUCCCGUUGCUGAUCCGGGGCCGGAGCCGCAGCGGGAGCGGCUGGAAUAGCUCGGCCUGGGGUGGGAAACUGCGGAGAGACGGAACUGGGAAUGAACUGGGAAUGAACUGGGAAUGAACUGGGAAUGAACUGGGAAUGAACUGGGAAUGAACUGGGAGCACUGGGAAUGAACUGGGAAUGAACUGGGAAUGAACUGGGAAUGAACUGGGAGCACUGGGAAUGAACUGGGAAUGAACUGGGAGAACUGGGAAUGGAACUGGGAAUGAACUGGGAGCACUGGGAAUGAACUGGGAAUGAACUGGGAGCACUGGGA